rnacentral:lncRNA from 1 species
GCCAUCUAAUCGGAGAGAAAUUUCUAAUGUGUGUGAUCCCAUAGGUUCAAACCUAAGUCGAUAGCACAGAAAUAGAUUUCUGUAUCAAUCAGAGUAACCAUCUAGCAAUGGUAUCCAACGUCCGGAUAGGCCGAAUGUAUGCAAAGAAAUACUCAAGAACCUACUUGGAUACAGUUACUAUAUAAUUCAUCCAUUUGACCCUUGAUGUAAGGAUGACUUAGAAUUUAAAUUGUC